GCUGGGCGUGGUGGCGCAUGCCUGUAGUCCCAGCUACUCAGGAGGCUGAGGCAGGAGAAUUGCUUGAACCCAGGAGGCAGAGGUUGCAGUGAGCCAAGAUCACACCACUGCACUCCAGCCUGGACAACAUAGCAAGACUCUGUCUCAA
rnacentral:SRP_RNA from 1 species